ensembl:lncRNA
UCUGUGUUCUACUUUGGACUACUUGAUUGGAAUUCUUUUGUUUUUGUUUUUUGAUUAGACUAGAUUUUAUUUUAUUUUAUUUUAUUUUAUACAAGUGAAAAUACACCUAGAUAAAACCCCAGGCUGCUGACUUCAACACUCUGCUCGCCUCAUUUGAUCUCAAGCGAGUGUCUACUACAGCGACUCACAAUUCAGGCAACCAACUGGACCUCAUCUACACACGCUGUUGCUCUGUUGACAACUCUUUAGUUGCUCCACUGCACACCUCAGACCACUUCCUCAUUACUGCUAACCUAGCACUUACUCCUGAAGCAGCACACACUCCAACGCAGGUCACCUUUCGACGGAACCUACGCUCACUCUCUCCAUCUCUCCUAUCCUCUGUGGUUUCAUCCUCACAUCCUUCACUCUCGCAGUUUUCAGCUCUGGACACGAACAGUGCUACUGACACUUUUUGCUCCACUCUAACCUCUUGCUUGGACAACUUUUGCCCACUUUCGUCUAGACCGGCAUGCACCACCCCAUCUGCCCCCUGGCUGUCCGAAGUUCUCCGUGAACAUCGCUCUAAACUCAGGGCUGCAGAGAGGAAAUGCCAUAAAUCAAGAAACUCUACCGACCUCAGUGUGUAUCAGUCUCUUCUCUCUUGCUUCUCUGCAAAUGUCUUCACUGCUAAAACAUCAUACUACCACAACAAAAUUAACAACUGUUAUGAUGCUCGCACACUCUUCAAAACUUUCUCUUCUCUUCUUAAUCCGCCUCCACCUCCUCCUGCAUCGACUCUUACAGCUGACGACUUUGCAGUUUUCUUCACAAAUAAGACAAGAGCCAUCAGUGACCAAUUCUCCACACCACAGACUGAGGAUAACUUCACAAUGACUAAUGCACACUCUCUCUCCUCCUUCUCUCCACUCUCAGAGAUGGACGUUUCCAAACUUAUCCUGUCCAGUCAUCCUACUACUUGCCCACUGGAUCCGAUCCCCACUCACCUCCUUCAAGCGAUUUCUUCUUCAGUCAUACCUUCACUUACUCACAUUAUCAACUCCUCUCUUCACUCUGGAACAUUUCUCUCAGCAUUUAAGCAGGCUCUGGUAAGCCCACUGCUGAAAAAACCAUGUCUAAAUCCAGCACUUCUAGAAAACGACAGACCGGUAUCCCUUCUUCCAUUCAUUGCAAAGACACUUGAACGAGCUGUGUUCAACCAGCUCUCUAUGUUUCUUGUACAGAACAACCUCCUGGACANNNNNNNNNNN